UCCGCUUCGUUUCAACCAAUUCUAAACUCUGUCUUGCCGUUACUACGACCCUUACUUCGUCAAUCAAUGAUGGUACUCACUUCCUUCCACCUCCCAUUGAUUCUUUUCUUAUAUAAAUCGCAUCGUCUAAACCUAAAUCCAUCCAAAAUUGAAAAGAUAUUCUCACACCUCUGUUCUCACCGUCAUUGAAGAUAUCCGACUCUCUCCAUGAAGACUUCCAAGCUAAAUGUGUGGAAGAAAUAGAGUAGGGUUGAAUUGAUUUUAGAUGUUCUUAGGAGGGGUGACCUCUACGUCUCCCAUACAAACAUUGAAAAUUAACCGCCAGUGCCAACAGUUCUGUUGUCCUUUUAGUCACUACAGUGAACCCAAAACGCCUUGGAGGUAAUCAUUUCUCCUUCCCUUCUACCUAACAAUUUAGCUUUAAUCGUGACAUUAUGUCUAAAUGUGUAAAUAUAUUUAGUCAAUGUAGAAAUGUAAGCAUGAUAAAAUCGAAUUCUCUAAAAGAUAGUCUAUGCAUAUGUCUUGGGAACUAACACUUAACAUUUAGCCCUGACUAUGUUCAUUUAUCUGUGAUUAGUGAACACUAGCUAGGGGUUCGCCGGAUGUUUCCGGAAUGGUUUGUCACCGGAUGCUACUGUGAGACUUGAAGCAUCAUAUUUUGGAUUUUUAGUUUGGCCUCAUGAACUCUAACUUGAAUAAACAAACUUAUGCUAAAUAGUGUGCUCUUCAUAUGGCAUCAAGUUCAGCUCGAUGUCUACUGUUAGAUUUUCAUUGCUUUUCAAAAAAUGUGUUGAUUUCCACUUAACGUUAUGUUGCCGUUUGGUCAAUCAGUUUUCCUGACGUGUUUAAGAAAACAGGGAACCUUGCCGUCAGUUCAGUGUCAUCCCCACAUGUGUUUUAUGGACUACGGUGUCCAACCCACCAUUGAUUACUUCAACUGGUUGGGUUCUAACCCAGAGAUUGAAAAGCUGGUGAAUGCAGAGGAGGUUACUAAGGCUAGGCUGAGAUACUGACAGCUGGACAAAUCUAUGCUUACAUCAAAAAGAAAUUCGCCAGGGUCAAAUUACAGCUCUAGAUAACUCACUCGGAAACAGAGGCCUUUUUAUGUAGAUCAAUUGCAUUUAUCCCAUAGCAGGAAGGUCUUUCAAAUGCGUAUCCACAAUUUGAUGUGCAGCGAGCCAGCGACUUCUUGGUAUUUUGUUGUUGUGCCCAAAGUUUGGUAACAUUAACGUAUCCGGGGUUGCAAAGUAUGAACUCUAACCUCUAAAACCAUUCAUGUCUUGACUAGAAUUUGACUUUAGUUCCCUCUUGAUCACAAGUACCUUGCUAAGAUCUCUAUCUACGACAAAAAUUACCAGGCUGUUUUCGUGCUGCUUGGUAAUGCAAGCCAUGAGUUGACUGGAAAGCAUUCCUCGGAAAUGACAGCAAGUUAUAGAACUCUCAAGUCAUGUAAACUCACUUUAUUUUUCCAUUAAUGUUACGCCAAUCCAGAUCUUGGUGCUGGCCAUGAGAUGCAUGCCCUCCCCCAAGCUUUAAUUUAUAUCAUUGGUCAAACACACAAGUUCAGGGUCAAA